GGUGUGAUGGCUGAAUGGUUAAGGUGUUGGACUAGAAAUCCAAUAGGGUUUCCCUGCACAGGUUCAAAUCCAACUCGCAGUG
rnacentral:tRNA from 1 species